rnacentral:rRNA from 1 species
GACGAACGCUGGCGGCGUGCUUAACACAUGCAAGUCGAACGGAAAGGCCCUGCUUUUGUGGGGUGCUCGAGUGGCGAACGGGUGAGUAACACGUGAGUAACCUGCCCUUGACUUUGGGAUAACUUCAGGAAACUGGGGCUAAUACCGGAUAGGAGCUCCUGCUGCAUGGUGGGGGUUGGAAAGUUUCGGCGGUUGGGGAUGGACUCGCGGCUUAUCAGCUUGUUGGUGGGGUAGUGGCUUACCAAGGCUUUGACGGGUAGCCGGCCUGGGAGGGUGACCGGCCCCAUGGGCCUACGGGAGCCAGCCGUGCUCAUGAGGGGGGAAGGGGUGGGAGAUUUGUCCAGCUGGGCGGAGGGUGGCAGCAAGGACCCCGGGUGGGGGAGGACGGCCUUUGGGUUGUAACCCCAUUUCGCCUAUACCGAGCCGGGGGUACGGGAACUAGUGAAAAAGCCCCCGCUAACCUCCGG